AUCAUAUCGUACGUGCACUUGCAACUGUUUUGAGGUUUUUCUCCAUAUAUAAAUAGCGACUGUAAAUGUAAGUUUAAAUCGUCUUACCUGUAAAACCUGCCGUCAUUGCCGGAAGUCAGUGUUUGGGCGCACACUUUAAUAACUGGGGGUGGGCGGGGGGGUUUCAGUGUAACUGAAAAGUAAAGUUUUACUUUCCUGUGUGGGACAUCAUCUGCUGUCUAGUCGGCAACAGAGGAAGAGUAUAUUUUCAGUUUUGAAAAAUAAAUGGAGAGGAAAAGAUCUGCGGAAGGGGAAGACCAAGAAGGCUGUGGAUUAAGGAAAAGAUGGAAGGCUGAAUAUAAUGAACCUUCUGAUGAUGAAGACGAGAAGGAGGAGGAGGAUCAAAAAACUUGGAGGACAGAAGGAAAACAGCUUUUGCCUGUAAUCUGUGGAACCACAGAGGGCAUCCUUGAUUGUGAGAAGCUGGAACAAGGUAAGGCGUGUAUUGUGUAUGAAGGCAAAUGGUGUAAGCCCUCUAGGUUUGAGAAACUUGCAGGGAAAAGAUUGUGUAAAAAAUGGAAAGCAACUAUUUUCUAUGAUGAUCAACCUCUGGAGUAUUGGAUUAAGAAACGUUACCUAAAAACUAAGGGAUACAGAAAAGGAAGAUCCAAGACUAGAACGGAAAUACAAUCAUCCAACUCUGAAGAAACUGAAGAUGAUAAUGCUGAAGAGAGGACAACAAAACAUACAAUUUCAACAGCAAUGAAACAUCUAUUCAGGGGAAAGAACUAAGAAUUAUUCUCAAGAGAUGUUUUGAUGGAAGACAGG
ensembl:lncRNA